CGCUAUCACUCCUACGGGGAGGCAGCAGUCGGGGGAAUAUUGCACAAUGGGCGCAAGCCUGAUGCAGCCAUGCCGCGUGUGUGAAGAAGGCCUUCGGGUUGUAAAGCACUUUCAGUCGUGAGGAAGGUAGUGUAGUUAAUAGCUGCAUUAUUUGACGUUAGCGACAGAAGAAGCACCGGCUAACUCCGUGCCAGCAGCCGCGGUAAUACGGAGGGUGCGAGCGUUAAUCGGAAUUACUGGGCGUAAAGCGCAUGCAGGUGGUUUGUUAAGUCAGAUGUGAAAGACCCGGGGCUCAACCUCGGAAUAGCAUUUGAAACUGGCAGACUAGAGUACUGUAGAGGGGGGUAGGAAUUUCAGGUGUAGCGGUGAAAUGCGUAGAGAUCUGAAGGAAUACCGGUGGCGAAGGCGGCCCCCUCGGACAGAUACUGACACUCAGAUGCGAAAGCGUGGGGAGCAAACAGGAUUAGAUACCCUGGUAG
rnacentral:rRNA from 1 species